UGACAGUUGGAAUAAAACUCAGCAACCAUUUAGUCUGACUCACUUACCUGCUAUAACACACCCAACAAGCCAUCUAGUCUCUAAUUGAAGAUCUCCAUGGAAAGGGAACUCACUACCUGUCAAGGAAGGCUACUCUGCAUUUGAACAGUUGUCACUGUUAGAAGGUUUUCCCUAUAUCAAACCUACACUGGCCUCUUUGAAACUUCUACUCACUGCUCCUGAUUCUGAUCCCUGGGUCAAAGACACGUGGUCUGGACCACUCAUAACACUUCCUGCAAGCAAAUCAUUACUGGUAAUAUGUUGCAGUUAUUUAAACCCACCAUGUAGUCCACUGCUAUUUGUGCCAUUUACAAUUUUGAUUCUUCAGAUUGCUGUAUUCCAUGAUUCACAGUGAUCAUCACUAGGUAAAUACUGAAAUAUGCUCCUGUCAGGAAAUAAGCUUAAGAUCAAUGAAAAUGCAGCACAAAUAAGAAUGAAUUGGAAUGAAAUAGGAAUAACAAAUAUGACAAAUACAGAGAAGAAUACCGAUUUCAUUUAUUUAAGAAUUUGUGAUAUAUAAUAAAAUAAGACCCCAAACUCCUGCUCUUCCCUGAUAGGAACUGGACAUGCCUGUCCCCAUUGAAUAAUUCUGUAAAUCAAUUAGCAGUUCAGGAGACAGCAUCACUAUCUUCAAAUAUAUGAAGAGUAGUUAGGUAAAAGAGGAUUUAGACAAUUUAAUUAGCCUCUAAGAAUUAAUUAAAACCAAUGGACAAAUAUUACAGAGAACUAGAUUUUAGCUAUGUUAAAUAUGUUAAAUUUUAAUGUUAAAGUUAUCUGAAAAUAGAGUAGAUUGCCUUGAUUACAGUGAACUCUCCUUAACUAAAUUUCCUAACAGGACUAUUGCUUGUAUGUUUCAGAUCAAAGCUGGACUUUUCUGAGAUCUCACCUAAUUUGAAGAAUAAAAUUUUAUUCUAGUGUGGAAGGGGCGAGAAAAUCAUAGAAUCUUGAUAAAUCCUUAGAUUAUUUAGGGUCCUGUGCUAGUCCUGCUUGUACAAAGAAAUAUAAGAUAUGAUCCUCAUUUUCAAUCAGCUUAUAGUCAUUACCGUAGAUAGAACACGAAAGGUUCCCCUUGUCCUUUCUGCAGCUUUUAUGUAUUGUUGACCACCAGAUUCUACUGGAUACCCUUUGAUUCUAAGAUAAUAUACUUUCUUAAUUCUUCCUCUGCCUUCAUUUUUACCUCAAUUGAUAAUUUUCAUUCAUUUCAUUCAUUUUUGUACAUAGGAUGCAAAAAGGCAUAAAUAAAAAUUAUUUAUUUGGAGAAAAAAGAAAAGAGACAAAAAACAAAUAACCAAACUACUGUCUGUUAUUGAUGUUACCUUCAGAAUGGUAAAAGAAAGGAUUGAUUAUGGAAAGUAGGGGAGAAUGCAAGCCUUAAGAGCAUGGACUUUUUAGAUAGACAAUGGGAGAUACUGAAGAAAUAAAGAAGUGAUGUCACAGGAUACAAGAUGUGACACAAGAAAUGGAAGUCAGGUAUGUUGGGAUCUAUUCUGUUCAGUUUCUCAAGCCACUAUGUGUACAAGUUCUUAUUCUUCUAUAUCCCUAUCAAUAAAUACUCCCUUCCUCAGAGGGAUACUUUAAAUGGCAU